GUCGCACAUUUUGGUGUUACAGGGUGUAAACGUGUGAUCAUUAAUUAUAGGUAUGAAUACAAACAUAUGUGUUUCUGAGUAUGAGAAGAUACCCUAAGAAAUAAUAGGAUACACAAACAUUACCCUUAAGACUGCACUGCUGCGUACCCUCCCAAUAUAGACAGAAAUUGGAGCGGUAGUCUCCAAGGGGCUCAGGUACUUUCUAUGUUAAGGGUCUGUGGGCAGUACCCUAUUCGGUUUAAAUCCAACCCACAUUUCGUUAUAUGCACCAUGCCCGGACCUGGGGAUCUCAUAGUGAGGGCACCAACAAGCAGUCUAUGGUUACAUGUCUUGGUAGCAACGCAGCGCGUGGGUCAUAGGCACAUUUUACAUUGCACUUUUAGACCUGUCAAGAUUUACGGAUAGCCACUUUCCCCUCUCCAAGUGCUACCGCAGUACUAUAACAGUGCUCGGUGUAUGGGCAACUCUGAUUGGCUGCGCAGCCUGGAGUGCAGGUGCGCUGGGAUUAUGUGCCCUUUCUUUGGGCGGAGAUAAUGUCUGUAAUACUGAUUGCAUUAUGGAUUCACCCAAUGUCCACUCCUACACCCAUUUGUUAUCAGACCUGCCAG